GGGUCGUACAGCUCGCACUCUUCUGAGGAGCGUGAGAUUUACUUGCAUUGAUUGAGCUCUACACAACGUUUUAUAGCGUGAGUCAAAUGAAUUUGUUGUUACCGUUAGAGGGGUUUAAUGGCAGUUGGUGUGUAUUUACAUGUACAUGGUGAAGAAUGGCGUCCUUGGAGGAAGAUUUCCCCGUGAAGGGACAGAAGAAGACCACUGAGCCUAAAAAUGUGAAGGCACAUGACGUGGACAAUCUUUUUGAAGUUAGAUGAUGAUGAUGAUGGUGGUGGUGAUGACUACAACAGUGAUUUUAAAGAAGAUCAAUGUGCAUACAGCACAACUUGCUAUGCACGUGAAAGAGUGGUUACAAAGAAGAGAAAGUUUGUGCAACAGUAUGAAAAGAAAAAAAAAACAAUAAAAACUGGAAGAAGGGGAUUUAAAACUUAAUACUGCCGCCAGUGUGGAAAUUCUUCAUCUUCAUAAUCUGAAGAUUGGCUCUCUGAUGCUGGGCUGUGUGAAGGAAGUGUCAGACUCUGAGGCAGUGGCUGGUCUCCCAAGUGGUCUCGUUGGUUACCUGCCAAUCUCCAAUAUUCUUAAGGAAGACCUGAAGACAGUUUGAAGGCUCCUGCCAGUCUCUCACCCCAACUUUAAAGUUUUCCUCCCUGAACUCACCCUUCUGCCCAGAAAACUGAAUAAUUCUGAUAAGAAGACAAUUACCAAAGUGAACUACAAGCCUGGAGAUGAAGUCAUAUGCUUUGCAUCAAAGGUAACUUUUACAGUCUAAGGAACAGGAAAUGUAAUCUCAAACUGCAUGAGCUGUUGAAGUCUUUUUCACCUUUUCUUCAGUACGUCAAAGAAGCACAAUGCUUAAAAGUUCAUGUGAAGCCCAACAUCAUGGGAGCUGUUGAACUACUAGCCAUGAUUAACAAACCUGGGGCGAGUCUCUGUACAACCUUGUUUUCCUUCUUUGUUAUAUGCAGUAUUUUAAAAGUGACAUGUUACAAUAUUGCUUUUCUAAUAAAAAGUAUUUCAUUUAUAUCUAAUAAACACAUUACUUGGAGUCGCUUUAACGGUGGCAUAAAUGUAUUUUAAAAGUGACAUGUUACAAAAGUAUUUCAUUUAUAUCUAAUAAACACGUUACUUGAAAGAGUCACUUUAACGGUGGCAUAAAUGUUACUUGUAAAAAUCAUUUUAAGUCAUCCACUUAUAAAAUGCAUGUAUGUUUACAUUAAUUUCUGAAUAAGCGAGCUGUGUUUUCAUAUGUGUGUUUCCACAGUGAGCUAAACACCCACAGACGCUUUUUAAAACAGGACAGACCAUUUCUGCAAAGGUUGUUGGUGUUGGUACCAGCCGGCCUUUUCGUCUUUCUCUGCACUAUCAGUACUGUGAGAGGAGAUUUGAUGUGACAUCAUUUUCUCCUCGUUACACCAAACGCUGAGUCACACUGCUCUUGAUGUCGUGACACAUAUGGCGGUCGUCCCUUGAGUGUCUUAAGCAUUUCCUGUGUGUCCUGUUGCUGUAGGGACGUACAAGCUGGAGCAAGGGUUGGUCACCAUGGCGAUGGUUUGGAAAAUUGAGCCUCACAUGGGACUGUUUCUCAAACUCCCAUUUGGGAAUUCGGGCUUUGCUUCGGUAAACAAUCUCUCUGAUGCAUACGCAGACAACCCGCUAGAGCCCUACAAGCUGGGCCAACUAGUCCAGUGAGUCAUGACCUAGUUGCAAUUGUUUAUGAUGAAUGUCUGAAAGGAUUUUUCCUGCAUAGAAGCUCUAAAUGUGAAGUUUGUUUAUGUUUGUGCAUGUCUUUUGUCCAGGUGCUACGUUAUCGGGGAAGAAAAUUAAAAUUUCAACAUUUCAUUACGUCCCUCCAGAUAUAUUAUAAACAAGUGUCAUUUCAAGUUUAAACUGGGUUGUAGAUCUGCCAUCACUUUCUUCUUUGAAACAUCCCAUUAAAUCAAUCUAUCUAUUUAUCUCUAAAUUUAUUAAAUAUAAAUAUAUGAAUAUGUUAUAUUAUGUUGAUAUUAAAUAAUAAUUGAAAUAAAUAUUAACAUAAAUAUAAAUUUAAUUUAUAUAAGUUUUUUUUAUUUUUAUUUGUUUGUUUAUUUUUUAUUUAUUAAGUUAGUUUUUGAUCCUUCAUGGAAUGUUGAAAUUAAGCUUUUGACUAUAAAUUGAGCCAUUUAGAAAAAAAAAAAAAGUGUGAAGCAAAACAUGCUUUAAACAAAAUUUACUACAUUGAAUGUUAUAAAAACCAUCUGAAAUGCACAUUGCUGUAGUUUGUGCUCUUUCUGUCCUGAGAAACCAGCAGCAGUGUGACGUGUUGCCUGAAGUAAUAAAUGGGUGGUCUGUAGGUCUUUGACCCAUAUCAUCUGUUGCUUUCUUCUCCGGAUAUUGAGAACAUCCGGCCUGCAUGUGCGUAAUUGUGCAGAUGAUGACAAUGAUUUUCUGUUGGCUUAUAAAAUAAAUUCAUAAAAUAAGUAAAUAAAAACUUAUUAAAUAA